UACACAUGGUGCACACUAUGUUGUGCACCUAGGUAGGGAGAAGCAUUGUUUCGUUUGUCAGUAUACAUGUGUACAUACGGUCUGAUGUAGAGAUGAUGAUGAGAGUUUAUUCAUAACAAUUCCAAAAGAACAUUGGUAGCUUGGCCGAGUGACAUCAUGAAAUUCUCAAAAUUACAACCCCACCAUUAGUGCUAAUUGGGUGUCCGCUUAAAUAAUAUAAGUAACAUGGAAUCCCGGAGCCAAUCAAAUUAAACUUAACAAGCUUUAACAGAAAGCACCGCGACAUCGCAUUACAAAGAAUGAGGCACUCAUGAAAAAACCCCAAGGAUCUUAAUGGUUAACAACUCUUAUUAAACAACAAUUAACCAAUUCAGUUGCUCUGGAAAAACCCCAAAGCCCAACGCACAAGCUUAAAGAGUUCAUUAUAUUUUAAAAUUUUACAUUAAAAUACUAAUGAGUGAUUAUACAUUAGUAUAAAGGAAAAUAAGUCAAUAUAAAUAAUAGAACUUAACUUCUCCCUAUAGGCCUGUCACCACGCUUCAUCAAUAGGUCAGAAUCCCCUUUCAAUAGGGAAUCUUUAUCUGAAGAUUAGGGGGAAAAAGUUAAGUUCUAUUAUGAUGCUAUAGAUGCUGCCUAGCCUGCUGUGUUCUACCAGCAUUUUGGGUGUGUUGUAAGUACUUUGUUAGUCACACUGUUUCUGACGAGCAACCAUCGCAAGUAGAAGUCUGCACCGUCACUUUGGGCUUGAAGGCAAUUCAGCAUCGCAGAACCGAGGUGAGGCGGCAGGCCCAUUGCCGAGCGCUAGGAGUGCCCGAGGUUUGAUCGAUCUAAUCGCCACGCCAAAGGCCAAAUUGGGGCGGUGAGGUUGUACCAAUUCGACUGAACUCAACGAUAGGUUGGAGGCGUAAGUGUCUUGCUAAAUUGGAAAGGUCAGUUACCGGCCGAAUCGACUUUGUGCACCAGAGGGUAUCGAUUCGACUGAACUUCAUGGUUGGACGGAGACUUAAAUGAUGUGCCAAGUCAGAAGGGUCAGCUACAGGCCAAAUGGAGGCGGUGAGGUCCAGACCCAGAGUGUAUUGGAACAAUUGAACCUGAUGUAUGGUCAUCGAUUUAGGUACCAGGUCCUGCUGAAGGGUUUCAGCCCAAAACGUAGACUGCCCUUUUUUCUACAGAUGCUGCCUGGCCUGCUGAGUUCCUCCAGCAUUUUGUGUGUGUUGCUUGGGUUUCCAGCAUCUGCAGGUUUUUCUCGUUUGUGAUUUAGGCACCAGGCCAGAUUGAAAAGGUCCAAGGUCGAGGAAGGGGCUGAUUCUGAUCAGUGUUCCACGUGGCCCUGCAGUGAACUACGCUGAACUGCUGGACUCUCUUGUCGACUUCAGUUCAGAACACUAAUCGCUUGUGGUUUUCCUUUCUCUCCACAUCGCGUGUCCGAUGGUCUUUUUUAUUUAGGUUCUUUUAUUCAUUGGCGUGCUGUGGUUUUUUUUCUCUCUCUGCACAUUGGGUGUUCAACGGUGUUUUUUAUGUGUGGGUUUGUUUUUGGGUUUCUUUGUCAAGAGAUGAAUCUUAAGGCUGUAUAAUGUAUACUCGCUUCAAUAAUAAAUUACUUUGAACUUUGAAACAGCUUGAUCACACAAGUGGAAGAAUUUCCGGAGACACGAGAGAAUGCUGGAAUCCGAAGUAACAGACAAUCUGCUGGAGGACCUGAGCGAGCUGAAGGGUUGUGGAGGUGCCGGGCUAGGACUUGUUGAUGUUUCGGGUUGACGGACUGCACCAUGACUCCUGGUCUCCCUGUGCUGAGGGGCCACUGCAGAGCAGAUGAAGAGAGAAGAUGCCAGAACAGAGAGGUCGUAGACAUAGAAAGGAGUGGACUUGGAGUGGGGCCGGGAGUCGAUGAAGCCCGGGGAAAUCGAUGGAGGACCGGUGGAAGGGAAACCGUGAGCUCCAACUUGUGCACGGUUCUUUUGAAGACCCUGACUGAGUUACACGGUGACUACGGUUCUUUGCGGGAAUGGGACCCGUUCUCAGGGUUCCAGAAUUGGCCAUUAUUCAGCAUGCCAAAGGCUUGGCCUAAGAUUUUGGCUCAGAUUCUGAAGCCUGAGAUCUCAAGGAACUGGAGACAGGCAAAUCAAGGGUUGGUGUCGUCACUGGAGAUCUGUGUAUCGUCGGGGGAGUCAGAACAUCUGCUGUGUGCCUGGGGGACCCAGGAUCCUUUCGAUCUUCAGGCACAGAACUCUAAAAAAGCGACGUAACAGACUUUUAACAUCAUAAUCCAGCAGGUCGUUUGUUAUGUCUCCCCACUCGUUGGAAAAUGGAGUCACCUCUUUCUCCCUUAUUCGGAGACAGAGAGCCUGCAGCAUGUCGAAUUAUCGGGUGAACAAUGUAGUCUUUGGGGUAACUGCAAGUCUGUGUCUUUGCUAUUGCUUUGUUCAUGCUUGAGUACUGGUAACAGGUGCAUUUUUUUUGCCGGUGGGGGAAGGGCGAUUGUUGCUCGAUGCACCUUAUGCGCGGGGGGGGGGGGAGCUGCAGGGGCUUUGGGGUUCUAACAUUUAACUGUCAUUCAUUCUUGGGGCACUCCUCUGUUUUUGUAGAUGAAAAGAAAAAGCAUUUCAGGAUGUAUAUUGUAUACAUUUCUCUGACAUUAAAUGAAACUUUUCUCCCCUGGUGCUCCGGUUUCCUCCCACAGUCUGAAGCUGUACUGGGUAGGUCAAUUGGUCAAGAUAAAUUAACCCGUGAUUAGGUUAGGGUUAGAUCAGGGUUGUUGGGAGUUGCUGGGGCAGCACAGCUUGAAGGGGCUGAAAGGCCUACUUCAUGCCGUAUCGCUAAAUAAAGAAAUCAGUGUUGAUGCCAUCAGGUUGGAGGCCACCCACACAGAAUAUACCAGUGUUGCUCCUCCAUUGUGGCAGCAGGGGAAGGCAUGGCCCAACAUGUCGGAAAUGGGAAUGGGAAAUAGAACUGAAAUGGGUAACCACCAGGAAAUCCCUCCUUUUUAGACCUGCCAGCUUGUACUCCUUCCCCUCCACCCUCUGUCUUAUUCUGGCUUCUUCCCCCUUUCUUUCCAGCCCUGAUGAAGGGUCUUGGCCUGAAAUGUCAGCUGUUCAUUUCUGUUGAUGCUGUCUGACCUGCUGAGCCCCUCCAGCAUUUUGUGCGUGUUGCCCUGGAUUUCCGGUAUCUGCAGACUCACGUGGGUCUGAGGUACAUUGUCAUGUUUCCUCCAUAAUGAUCUGAUCUUCUGUGUCUGGCCAAGCACCGGCAGAGUUUCAGAAUAGCUUCUCGCCACCCUCUUUCCACACUGGCCCAAUGAAAUGUUCUUGAUGGAAGACUGAUUGCUGCUUAGUAAGUUUCCAAGUGAGAAGGAGAGAUGACCAUGUAGUGGGUUUCGCCUCUCAGCAAAGUGUUUAGAGUCAUGAAGCCACACAGGAACAAAGUACCUGUAGGCCCUUCUGCCCAACUCGUCCAUGCCAACCCGAGCUAGGCCCACAUAGAAAUCAUUGAGUCCCUCAGCAUAGAAACAGGAACUUUGGUUUCAUAAUUUAGCAAUUCUAUAGAUCCAAACUAGAAUUAAAUUCAUUUAAAUCUUACAUCCAUCCCACAAUGUGAAGGAAUGAAACAAUAUCACUGAACACAGCAGGUAUUAGGUGAGACACGAGCAAUAAAUAACACACCAGACUGGAAGACAAUGUUGUUGGGGUGGUGGUGGUUUGAGAAUUUUUUUACAGGAGAACAUAUUAUCAGUGUCUGUUGGGAAUAUCAAUCAGCUUCUUGGUAGAUGAAACAUCUUUUUCUCUCGCUCCCUCUCUCCCUGUUGAACAUUUCAAUGCAUGAAUAGAAAUUAAGGUUGCCAAGUCACCUCGAGUUCCCUAAAGAUUCCAGGAAAUUAAUUAUGUGUACAACUGCUAGCAACCCAGAGAAAAUAAAAUGUGAUUCAAAGAGGCAUUCAAACAAUUGUGUGAUGUUUGUAUGUUCUUUGUUGUUCUUAUGGGGGGAGAAAUAGUUUCACAGGGCAGGGAUCUUGGAUGAAGCUUCCUGGAAAUAUCUAAAGAGAACUGGCAGUUUCAUCUGAACUACUUGGAUAACCUCUGACGUAAUUCAUUACAAACCACAUGCCAAGUAGGUGAGCCCCUUCACAUUGAAAAUGGUUGAUUACAUUUACAAAAUGCUGAGUUGUAAGAGAAAAGUGAGGACUCCUAGUAAAUGACGGAUGUUGAUCCAUCUCAUUCCUCUCAUCACAGAAUUUAAUGUUUUUAAUUUGCUUGAACUGAAGUGGUUAAAUCGCUCCAAAUUUUCUUCCUUUAAUUCACUUCCUGCCCACAUGUAUUAAUCUCCAUAUCGUGUUCUCACUGCCUUAACAUUCUUUCCUUAACUUAUUAUUUCCUCAGAACUACAAAACUCAAAGUGAAAUUUAUCAUCAAAGUAUGUAAUUUUCUUGCAGGCAAUUAUGAAAAACUAUCCAUGAAUGAAGAUGGCCAAACAACCAAUGUGCAAAAGACAAAAUUGUGCAAAUAAGCAACACUGAGAACGUGAGCUGUAAGAAGUUAACCAUGUAACAUAUAACCAUAUAACAUAUAACAAUAUAACAAUAUAAUCAUAUAAUCAUAUAACAAUAUAACAUAUAACAAUACAACCAUAUAACAUAUAACAAUAUAACCAUAUAACAUAUAACAUAUAACCAUAUAACCAUAUAACAAUAUAACCAUAUAACAUAUAAUUACAGCACGGAAACAGGCCAUCUCGGCCCUUCUAGUCCAUGCCGAACGCUUACUCUCACCUAAUCCCACUGACCCGCACUCAGCCCAUAACCCUCCAUUCCUUUCCUGUCCAUAUACCUAUCCAAUUUUACUUUAAAUGACAAUACCAAACCUGCCUCAACCACUUCUACUGGAAGCUCGUUCCACACUGCUACCACUCUCUGAGUAAAGAAAUUCCCCCUCGUGUUACCCCUAAAUUUUUGCCCCCUAACUCUCAACUCAUGUCCUCUUGUUUGAAUCUCCCCUACUCUCAAUGGAAAAGCCUAUCCAUGUCAACUCUAUCUAUACCUCUCAUAAUUUUGAAUACCCCUAUCAAGUCCCCCCUCAACCUUCUACACUCCAAAGAAUUAAGGGCUAACUUGUUCAACCUUUCUCUGUAACUUAGGUGGAAUGCUCUGCCCCAGAAGGCAGUGGAGGCCAAGUCUCUGGAUGCAUUCAAGAGAGAGUUAGAUAGAGCUCUUA